GAAUAUUUAAGUUAUUCAUAUACUUUUUUUGUAGCGUAUUUGCUUAGCAAGUCAAAUUGCGUCUUCUCUCUCCAUUUAGGCUAAGAUCCAUAGCUAUCAUUUUAGACAUUUGGCUUUUGGAAUUGUUGUAAAACUGAAAGGUGAAAGGUGAAAGGUGAAAGGAAGGGUAAAGGAAAGAGUAUUAGAAUGUGCGUUGGCAAUUAGUGGAGAGGGCCUAAGGGAUUUUGCAAAGUUUCUAUCCUCCAAUCCAAUGUGGACAAUCUCAACACGUCCCUCACAUGUGGAGUCUAUUGCUUAGUGGGAGAAUGCGGGAUCGUUGGCUUGCCAAAUGGAUAACUGACUCUGAGACCAUAUUAGAAUGUGAAUAUCCAACUAAUUGCCCAACAUCCUUUAAAGACUACUGCAAAGCUUCCACCCUCCAACGUGGGAGCUCUAAACAUAAAGAGCAGUGAGAGAAAUAAAACAUAUUAUAGUAAAUUGAGCUUAGACUCAUAAUAUUCAUUUUAAAUCACCUACAACCCUUUUCUUUAGUUUUCCAUUUAAAAUACCCAAUUUUUCAAAUAAUACCCGAUGACUAGGAUCUAAUUAAGCAAGUUACCUAAUAUAACUUAAAAUCUGAUUUAUUGUAUUUUUAAGAUUCCA
rnacentral:lncRNA from 1 species